rnacentral:rRNA from 1 species
GAUGAACGCUGGCGGCGUGCCUAAUACAUGCAAGUCGAGCGAACAGAUGAGAAGCUUGCUUCUCUGAUGUUAGCGGCGGACGGGUGAGUAACACGUGGGUAACCUACCUAUAAGACUGGGAUAACUCCGGGAAACCGGGGCUAAUACCGGAUAAUAUUUUGAACCGCAUGGUUCAAUAGUGAAAGACGGUUUCGGCUGUCACUUAUAGAUGGACCCGCGCCGUAUUAGCUAGUUGGUAAGGUAACGGCUUACCAAGGCGACGAUACGUAGCCGACCUGAGAGGGUGAUCGGCCACACUGGAACUGAGACACGGUCCAGACUCCUACGGGAGGCAGCAGUAGGGAAUCUUCCGCAAUGGGCGAAAGCCUGACGGAGCAACGCCGCGUGAGUGAUGAAGGUCUCCGGAUCGUAAAACUCUGUUGUUAGGGAAGAGCAAAUUUGUUAGUAACUGAACAAGUCUUGACGGUACCUAACCAGAAAGCCACGGCUAACUACGUGCCAGCCGCCGCAGUAA